rnacentral:tRNA from 1 species
GUUGUUGUAGCUCAGUGGUAGAGCACUUGCCUAGCACGUGUGAGGCACUGGGUUCAAUUCUCAGCACCGAAU